AACUGCACCCCAGCAAGAGGGACUGCCCCACAUCUGCAACCAAAUCCGUCGGUCACCGAAUUCAGUAAUCUCCGUCUCUUUGUGCAUUGUCUCUGACAAGCAUUCUCCUAUGGGACACGAAGUACAUGAAGAGGAAUGAAGAAGCCCAUGUUUGAUGCUUGUCUCCAGGGUGGAGUAUUGAAUUUAUAAACAAUGAAGUGGCAUCUGACACAUGACAAGCUGCUCCUGUUUGCACAGCAACUUCAACAUUGUGUACUGUGAUCACGGCAUAGUUCAGAGCUCCCGAGGGAAGGAGCAAACCGCCUUGAGGAGUCCCUGCAUAAGAGACUAUUGGAUAC